GAUGAACGCUGGCGGCGUGCCUAAUACAUGCAAGUCGAGCGAACGGACGAGAAGCUUGCUUCUCUGAUGUUAGCGGCGGACGGGUGAGUAACACGUGGAUAACCUACCUAUAAGACUGGGAUAACUUCGGGAAACCGGAUCUAAUACCGGAUAAUAUUUUGAACCGCAUGGUUCAAAAGUGAAAGACGGUCUUGCUGUCACUUAUAGAUGGAUCCGCGCUACAUUAGCUAGUUGGUAAGGUAACGGCUUGCCAAGGCAACGAUGCAUAGCCGACCUGAGAGGGUGAGCGGCCACCGUGGAACGGGGACCUGCACAGGCCUCCUCGGGGAGGACGCCGGGGGGAUCUUCCGAGAAGGGGGGAACACCUGACGGAAAAACGCCGUGUGGGUGACAAAGGCUUUGGUCCCGAAACUCUUUUUUAUGGGGGAAAAACAUAGGGUCACUUCCCUGUGCACCUCUGCAGGGUCCUUAAUCAGAAGGCAACGCCUACCUACGUG
rnacentral:rRNA from 1 species